CAGCCGCCGCGGGAAUACGUAGGUGGCAAGCGUUGUCCGGAAUUAUUGGGCGUAAAGGGCUCGCAGGCGGUUUCUUAAGUCUGAUGUGAAAGCCCCCGGCUCAACCGGGGGGGGUCAUUGGAAACUGGGAAACUUGAGUGCAGAAGAGGAGAGUGGAAUUCCACGUGUAGCGGUGAAAUGCGUAGAGAUGUGGAGGAACACCAGUGGCGAAGGCGACUCUCUGGUCUGUAACUGACGCUGAGAAGCGAAAGCGUGGGGAGCGAACAGGAUUAGAUACCCGAGUAGUCCCUGUCUCUUAUAC
rnacentral:rRNA from 1 species